AACGAACGCUGGCGGCAGGCUUAACACAUGCAAGUCGAACGGGCACCUUCGGGUGUCAGUGGCAGACGGGUGAGUAACGCGUGGGAACGUACCCUUCGGUUCGGAAUAACCCAGGGAAACUUGGGCUAACACCGGAUACGUCCGCAAGGAGAAAGAUUUAUCGCCGAAGGAUCGGCCCGCGUCGGAUUAGCUAGUUGGUGGGGUAAUGGCCCACCAAGGCGACGAUCCGUAGCUGGUCUGAGAGGAUGAUCAGCCACACUGGGACUGAGACACGGCCCAGACUCCUACGGGAGGCAGCAGUGGGGAAUAUUGGACAAUGGGCGAAAGCCUGAUCCAGCCAUGCCGCGUGAGUGAAGAAGGCCUUAGGGUUGUAAAGCUCUUUCAGCGGGAAGAUAAUGACGGUACCCGCAGAAGAAGUCCCGGCUAACUUCGUGCCAGCCGCCGCCGUAAC
rnacentral:rRNA from 1 species